AGGGAAUAGAUACCCCGGUAGUCCACGCCGUAAACGAUGGAUGCUAGCUGUUAUCAGUAUCGACCCUGGUAGUAGCGAAAGCUAACGCGUUAAGCAUCCCGCCUGAGGAGUACGAGCGCAAGCUUAAAACUCAAAGGAAUUGACGGGGACCCGCACAAGCGGUGGAGCGUGUUGUUUAAUUCGAUGGUAAGCGAAGAACCUUACCAAGGUUUGACAUCCUGGGAAAGUUGGUGAAAGCCGACCGUGCCUUCGGGAACCCAGUGACAGGUGAUGCAUGGCCGUCGUCAGCUCGUGUCGUGAGAUGUUUGG
rnacentral:rRNA from 1 species